UACGUAGGGAGCAAGCGUUGUCCGGAAUCAUUGGGCGUAAAGCGCGCGUAGGCGGCCCGGUAAGUCCGCUGUGAAAGUCAAAGGCUCAACCUUUGAAUGUCAGCGGAUACUGCCGGGCUAGAGUCCGGAAGAGGCGAGUGGAAUUCCUGGUGUAGCGGUGGAAUGCGCAGAUAUCAGGAGGAACAUCAGUGGCGAAGGCGGCCAUCUGGGACAACACUGACGCUGAAGCACGAAAGCGUGGGGAGCAAACAGG
rnacentral:rRNA from 1 species